UCGUGGAUCUUGAACCUAGGCCAGAAUUUAGGCAGGUCUAGAACCACCAUGAUGCCUGGAACAUACUCCUAUUUUAUCCAUGUAUGAGCCUUAUGGGAACUCUGCAAUUACUAUGGAUCCUCUUAUACAUUAUGUUCGACAUGGAGACAAGGUAGUAUAUUGAGUUGGACCAAUAAUCCUUCAUAUUUAUUUAUGUGAAUUAUGUUGUACUGGUGUCCUGUCCUUUUGUUUGUGCUUUAUAAUUUGUAAUUCUUAGCUAUUGAUAUGGUAUGAUGGAUGGGAGGUGGCUGAAAUCGUUCAGAUAAGUGCCAAUUUGUUGUUUUCUUUUUUAAUGAAUGGUUUUCUAUUUCAGCUGAUGAACCUUUUAUAGUUCUUUUAUUAUAUGCUGCCACUGAUUGCUAAUAGGGUGCAUGUCUUCUAUUUCUAGGUAUGGUGCAUAAAAAAGUAGGAACCACAAUGAGAUUGUAAUGCUGCACAUGGCACAUCAAGGUGCGCAAGAUAUGUACCGUAGAAAUUAUCGUAAAGUGCACACAGCUGUAUGUAUAGAUGUUUAGAAGUGGUCGAAGUUAGGCUUGCUCAACCGGGGCAAUGAUUUACUUAGCC
rnacentral:lncRNA from 1 species